UCUCCGGUUUUCGUCUAACUCCGCUUCUGACGAGUAGACGGGCGUGUGCCUAGGACCUCCACCUACUUGCGUGAUGUGUCUCUGUCAGAAGCAGGAAGAAUCCUUUCCAGUAUUUGCCAUGGGUUCUGCUGAUGUGGUUAAGGACACAUAGGUGAUAUGGAUGCUUGGGAAGACAGUGGAGAGAUCUGCAUUAAGAUGACUUUCUCUUUGUUCCGGGACCAUGAAGUUGCUGGCAACUCUUCUCAUCAAGGAAAAGAAAAGUCUCUGAUCCUGCUUCCUCUGGGACGCCUUCUUUGACUCACCCAGGCAAAAAUAGGUGGCCUCUGUGGAUCCUGCUUAUGACCUGUUCUUGUGCUCAUUGCUGUAUAAUGCUGUCACAACAGACAGUCCCUGCCCCUCGCUGAAAUAAUACGCGCCAACCGUUUGCAUCUGUGUCAUCUAAUCCUCACAACAAUCCCUUGAGAUGAAUGAUAUUCCCAUUUCAGAACCAGGACACCAAAGAACGAGAAGUGAGGUCAGGGUCUCAUGGAACUUGAAUAAGCUGCUGACUCACGGAAGAACCUUCCCAGCUUCCGCACCACUUGCCAGGAUGCCGUACAUUCCCCUAUAUUUCCUUCAGGACAAAAGGAUAUGCAAAAUUCUUCUCCUGAAAUAAAAGAAAACCAGCAUUUAUGGGAGAAGAAAAGGUUUCUGGCCAAACUAUGGUGGAGGUGAUGAAGAUAAUGGAGACCUCCUUCAGAAGGUCCUUAGCA